rnacentral:rRNA from 1 species
UGGGGAAUAUUGGACAAUGGGCGCAAGCCUGAUCCAGCCAUGCCGCGUGAGUGAUGAAGGCCCUAGGGUUGUAAAGCUCUUUCACCGGUGAAGAUAAUGACGGUAACCGGAGAAGAAGCACCGGCUAACUACGUGCCAGCAGACGCGGUAAUACGUAGGGUGCGAGCGUUGUCCGGAAUUACUGGGCGUAAAGAGCUCGUAGGUGGUUUGUCGCGUCGUCUGUGAAAUUCCGGGGCUUAACUCCGGGCGUGCAGGCGAUACGGGCAUAACUUGAGUGCUGUAGGGGAGACUGGAAUUCCUGGUGUAGCGGUGAAAUGCGCAGAUAUCAGGAGGAACACCGAUGGCGAAGGCAGGUCUCUGGGCAGUAACUGACGCUGAGGAGCGAAAGCAUGGGUAGCGAACAGG